rnacentral:rRNA from 1 species
AUUGAACGCUGGCGGCAGGCCUAACACAUGCAAGUCGAGCGGAUGACGGGAGCUUGCUCCUGGAUUCAGCGGCGGACGGGUGAGUAAUGCCUAGGAAUCUGCCUGGUGGUGGGGGACAACGUUUCGAAAGGAACGCUAAUACCGCAUACGUCCUACGGGAGAAAGCAGGGGACCUUCGGGCCUUGCGCUAUCAGAUGAGCCUAGGUCGGAUUAGCUAGUUGGUGAGGUAAUUGCUCACCAAGGCGACGAUCCGUAACUGGUCUGAGAGGAUGAUCAGUCACACUGGAACUGAGACACGGUCCAGACUCCUACGGGAGGCAGCAGUGGGGAAUAUUGGACAAUGGGCGAAAGCCUGAUCCAGCCAUGCCGCGUGUGUGAAGAAGGUCUUCGGAUUGUAAAGCACUUUAAGUUGGGAGGAAGGGUUGUAGAUUAAUACUCUGCAAUUUUGACGUUACCGACAGAAUAAGCACCGGCUAACUCUGUGCCAGCAGCCGCCGUAAGAC